CUGGAACUAAAAUUCUGAGUCUGAUCCAUCAGGCCUACCCUUAGCUGGCCUUAUUCUCCCACUCUGAGGAAAGGAUCUUGGAUAUUCUCUGCCAGGAGCUGGUUCACCACCUUCUGCUCCAGUGUUGGAUCCAAUGGUUUACACCUGUGACCUCUAAAGAUGUGCCCUCAGCUGACCCUAGCGAGAUCACCUCACCUGGAGAUGGCUAGCUAGUGCGGGGGAACCAUGUGGGCGCAGCUACUGCCCUUUACCACAGACCUGCAUCCUCACCUGGCCCAGGGAUGUAAGAAGCUGGAAGGAGGCUCCUAUGACACCAAAGUGAGACCUCAGAUUG